UGGGAAUUUGGACAAUGGGGCAACCUGAUCCAGCAAUGCCGCGUGUGUGAAGAAGGCCUUCGGGUUGUAAAGCACUUUUGUCCGGAAAGAAAACGCCGUGGUUAAUACCCGUGGCGGAUGACGGUACCGGAAGAAUAAGCACCGGCUAACUACGUGCCAGCAGCCGCGGUAAUACGUAGGGUGCAAGCGUUAAUCGGAAUUACUGGGCGUAAAGCGUGCGCAGGCGGUCCGCUAAGACAGAUGUGAAAUCCCCGGGCUUAACCUGGGAACUGCAUUUGUGACUGGCGGGCUAGAGUAUGGCAGAGGGGGUAGAAUUCCACGUGUAGCAGUGAAAUGCGUAGAGAUGUGGAGGAAUACCGAUGGCGAAGGCAGCCCCCUGGGCCAAUACUGACGCUCAUGCACGAAAGCGUGGGGAGCAAACAGGAUUCAGAUACCCUGGUAUCCACGCCCUAAACGAUGUC
rnacentral:rRNA from 1 species